rnacentral:rRNA from 1 species
GACGAACGCUGGCGGCGUGCCUAAUACAUGCAAGUCGAACGCAGUGGGGACGGGUGAGUAACACGUGGGUAACCUCCCAUCAGAGGGGAUAACACUUGGAAACAGGCGCUAAACCGACACUGGUGGAUGGACCCGCGGGGCAUUAGCUAGUUGGUGAGGUAGAGGCUCCCCAAGGCCACGAGGAGUAGCUGACCUGAGAGGGUGAUCGGGCAGACUGGGGCUGAGACACGGCCCAGACGCCUACGGGAGGCAGCAGUGGGGAAGCUUCGGCAAUGGACGAAAGUCUGAUCUAGCCACGCCGCGUGAGUGAAGAAGGUUUUCGGAUCGUAAAGCUCUGUUGUGAGAGAAGCGGUAUCUAACCAGAAAGCCACGGCUAACUACGUGCCAGCAGCCGCGGUAAUAC